rnacentral:lncRNA from 1 species
GGCAGUUUGAGUGUUGUGGAAAGAAGAAGGGAGAAAAGCAGUACUCCUGUUUUGCAGCCUCUGCUCCAGAUCCAGAAUAUAGAUCCACUGAUGGAGAGCUCGGCCCUUCUGCUGCUCCUCUAACCCUCGACAUAUUAUGCCUUACACAUACGGCUAUCCAGAGCAUGUGAGACCCUCUUCAUUUAAAAUUGCAUGUUUAACAAAUAAACUCACAAGUAAGAAUGUUUUGUUUUUUUGCCAAAGCAUUUAUUUGAUCAAAAAUACAGUAAAACUACUUUAAAUGUGUUCUGUUUUAAUGUAAUAUGUAUGUGCAUGAGCCAUUGGAGAAACUCAUGUGUCUCAAAAUGUGUUUCAUACUGUGAGAAUAUUCAGAUUUUAGGUUCUGUUGAGUAACAUUGUUCUCUUAAAAUGUUUCCAUGCUGCUGUUUUUGUGCUUUUAUUAUCUAUGUUUCGGUUUAUCUAUUUCCCUUCAGACAACACUGACCAUGAACGCUAGUCAAAACAAGGAUAGUUUAAAAACUAAUCUCGUUGUGUUUAACCUUGUGCAUGGCAAAACAUUGUCAAGGACAAUGAAAAUCCAAAUAUAUAUUUAACUAAAAGUCUGUUUUUUAUUUUGCAAAGUUUUAUUAAUUACAUUUUUGGUUUUACCAACAUGCACCAAACUGUAGGUUCUGGAAAAUGGAAAUAUUUAUAAAAUAUUUCAAGAACUAGUAACUGAAAUCUAAUUUAUCGCCCACAGGAAGGGUUUCCCCUUUUCUGUGGAUCAAAUGGUUGAACGGUGCUGCUCUCCAGUGUUACAGGACAUACCUGCAUGUAUAGAGGCUGAGCUGGACAGGCACCUGAAUGAUGUGUGUAAAGUGAAGGAGCUGGUGAAGCCUCAUUGUUGUGCACCCAAAAUCAAAAACCGUGUCAAAUGUGCCACAAAGCUGCUCCUGCGCUAUAUCGGCAAGGCAGAUAAAGACAGCAGGAGGAAGAUGUGCCCUCAGCUUCAGUUGGUCUGAGUCAGACAGAAUCCCUGAUCUGAUCUCUGAAUGUGGAUCCUUUUUUACAGAGCGCACACAUUUCAAUAUAUGUACACUUGAGUUGAAGCAAACCUGUACCACUUUUUGUUUGUCUUUUAAAAUGCAUUUUAUAUGUCUUACAGAUUAUCAAGAGACAUUUUUCAGCAUUAGAAAAAAAGAACUGCUUGGACAGUUCAAAAUGUUUUGUUUCCACUGUUUCCCCUCUGUUCCCAAAAAUAUAACAAAUUAUAUAUGUAUAUAAUAUAUAAAUAAAAAGUCUUCUGUGAUUGUAUGUUGUUCUCACACAAUAUCAUUUACAUUUA